rnacentral:rRNA from 1 species
GUUUCAGCAGCCGCGGUAAUACAGAGGUCUCAAGCGUUGUUCGGAUUCAUUGGGCGUAAAGGGUGUGUAGGUGGCGCCGUAAGUCAGGUGUGAAAUCUCGGGGCUUAACUCCGAAACUGCAUUUGAUACUGCGGUGCUUGAGGACUGGAGAGGAGACUGGAAUUUAUGGUGUAGCAGUGAAAUGCGUAGAUAUCAUAAGGAAGACCAGUGGCGAAGGCGGGUCUCUGGACAGUUCCUGACACUGAGACACGAAGGCCAGGGGAGCAAACGGGAUUAGAAACCCUUGUAGUCC